UACGUAGGGUGCAAGCGUUAUUCGGAAUUACUGGGCGUAAAGCGCGCGUAGGCGGCUGUCGAAGUCAAAUGUGAAAUCCCCGGGCUCAACCUGGGAAUUGCAUUUGUGACUGCACGGCUAGAGUGUGUCAGAGGGGGGUAGAAUUCCACGUGUAGCAGUGAAAUGCGUAGAGAUGUGGAGGAAUACCGAUGGCGAAGGCAGCCCCCUGGGAUAACACUGACGCUCAUGCACGAAAGCGUGGGGAGCAAACAGG
rnacentral:rRNA from 1 species